GAUGAACGCUAGCUACAGGCUUAACACAUGCAAGUCGAGCGGUUUGUGCUUUUGCACAUUCAGCGGCAGACGGGUGAGUAACACGUAUCUAACCUUCCCUUACUUGGGCAUAGCCUCUGGAAACGGAGAUUAAUUUCCGAUGUGGUGUACAUUUCGCAUGUUCUGCGCACCAAAGAUUUAUCGGUAAGGGAUGGGGAUGCGCUCCAUUAGGUAGUAGGUAGGGUAAUGGCCUACCUAGCCUAUGAUGGAUAGGGGUUCUGAGAGGAAGGUCCCCCACAUUGGAACUGCGACACGGUCCAAACUCCUACGGGAGGCAGCAGUGAGGAAUAUUGGUCAAUGGCCGGAAGGCUGAACCAGCCAAGUAGCGUGCAGGAAGACUGCCUUAUGGGUUGUAAACUGCUUUUUUACGGGAAUAAUUAUGAUCACGUGUGAUUAUUUGCAUGUACCGUAAGAAUAAGGAUCGGCUAACUCCGUGCCAGCAGCCGCGGUAAAGUCACG
rnacentral:rRNA from 1 species